rnacentral:rRNA from 1 species
CCUACGUGAGGCAGCAGUGGGGAAUAUUGCGCAAUGGGCGAAAGCCUGACGCAGCGACGCCGCGUGAGGGAUGAAGGUCUUCGGAUCGUAAACCUCUGUCAGCAGGGAAGAACGGUCACUGUGCUAAUCAGCAGUGAAUUGACGGUACCUGCAAAGGAAGAACCGGCUAACUCCGUGCCAGCAGCCGCGGUAAUACGGAGGGUGCGAGCGUUAAUCGGAAUUACUGGGCGUAAAGCGCUCGUAGGCGGUAUGUCAAGUCAAGGGUGAAAUCCCCGCGCUCAACGUGGGAACUGCCUUUGAAACUGGCAAACUGGAGUGUGUGAGAGGAUAGUGGAAUGCCAGGUGUAGGAGUGAAAUCCGUAGAUAUCUGGAGGAACAUCAGUGGCGAAGGCGACUAUCUGGCACAUAACUGACGCUGAGGAGCGAAAGCGUGGGUAGCAAACAGGAUUAGAUACCCUGGUAGUC